rnacentral:rRNA from 1 species
UUACGGCCAUAUCAGAUUGAAACGCCGGUUCUCACGAUCACCGAAUUUAAGCGACGUCGAGAAUGGUCAGUAGCUAGAUGGGUGAUCGCUUCGGAAGGCCGGGUGAUGUAA